GUGCCGCAGAUGACUAGCUACUGAAUCAUAGAAUUUCUUAAAAUUCAUGAUGUCGUAAGGGAAAAUAAUGAUAGCACCUUACUAUGAGUGUCGUCCAAAUCUAGUGCCAGAAGACUCGGUAAGACCAGAGACGCAAACGUUAAUCAUCAUAAACAGGCGUAAAGGGUUUGUAGGCAGCUCCCAUAUCCUUUUUACUUUUCUCUGUCAUCCGUGAUAGAUUAAGUGGUAAGAAAAUAGAAGAUAUACAAAAUAAAGUGUUCUAAUUGGGAGCUAGAAUCAAAAAGAGGUUAUAGUGUAUAACGCCUAGAGGAGGGCUGAUAUCCAUAGAUCCUAGGCAGAAUACUCAGGGCGAAGGCCACUCUCCACUAAUGAUUGACGCUGAGAAACGAAGGUUAGGGUAGGAAAUAGGAUUAGAUACCCCGGUACUCCUUUCUGUAAACGAUGAAUGGUAGUCAUUAGUCUACGGACUAGAGACGAAGUUAACACAAUAACCAUUCCGCCUUGUGAGUACUACUGCAAAGUAGAAAACAAAAAAAUUAGUCGGUCUCGAAGCAAACGGAGUGAAGCAUGUUAUUUAUUGAAAAAAAUCCCGAAA
rnacentral:rRNA from 1 species